rnacentral:lncRNA from 10 species
CAAAGGUUGGCUUCUCAAUCUGUGUAACAUUCCUGACCACCUUGCACUGGGGACCAAGUAAGAGUCGCCAAACCACUAAUGUUAAACAUUUGCUCAGGCUGAAAUGUGCUUUAAAGGCUCUGAGACUUCCUGAACGUGGGGGUCAUUGGAUGUUUUCUAGUGGAGAGCAAAUUCCUGAAUGCGAUAACCUUUUCUCCUUAGCUGCAGGGAGUUUAGACUUUUUGAAGGAAGUUCCGUUGAAAUUCACAAGAGAGGGAAGGAAAGUAAAAAUCAUGACCUACUCUGUGCUGCAUGCUUCCCAUCGAUUUGAUCUUUCUGAGGUCUGAACUGGGAGUACCCUAAACAGUUCUCUCUGUGUCAGAUUCACUGGUCAUUUAGAGCUGCUCUAUUGUUUCAGGUGUUCUGUGUUUUGAGGAGAAGGUGCAGAAUGUCCUUUGUCAUUGUUUUUCUGCAUUUUCUAACACUUUCUAUUUGUGGAAUACUAUGGUUUUUAUUAGAUAUUCCAGUUCCUUCUGUCCUGGAGUGGCUCCAACUGAUGUUUUAUCAUCCUUAUUUGUUUUGAAUAAUAAUAAGUGAAUAAUAAUACUAAAUGCCAUGACUCCAGGAGGUGGAACAUUUCUCAAGCUGGAGCUGUAUUUAAUUUUGUUUUGGAAACUGCUAAAAUCAUUCAAUACGACAAGGCUAAGAGGUGCUACAUGUCUGAUUGGGGGUGGGAAAAUAGGAAAUAAAAAUAUUCCUGCUCAGUUUGGGAGGAAGAGAACUGGCAGCUGAAUAUGUUUCUUACCUUCAUGGGGAAGCCCUACCUCU